rnacentral:misc_RNA from 1 species
UCCAACUAGCUUCCAUCAUCUCACUGUCUCGAUGCGACUGUGUAGCAUCUUCACCUUCAUUAAAAAGUGUUUUCUCCAUCAAGCUUGACGGUCUCUUUCUUUUUGACCUUUGGCCCCUUAUGGAACUCUUUUCUUCCUCAGGUGGAGGCUUUCGAGAAUACUGGUUUAGAAGAUUAGGUUUUUUAAUCUUUAACUUCAAUGAAAAUUUGGAAUCUUUUGGCAGUGAUUGCAAAANAGUAUCACUAGAAUCAUCAUUGCUUUCGGCAUGUGUCUCAGGUCUGACUUCUGGUUGCUUCCCUAAAGAUACCUUGUUGCUUCUUAAAGCAGAGACUUCACCUACGGGCCCAAUUGCAGUCCCACUUGAAUCAAUUCCUCUUUUACCAGACAAAGCACUUGUAUGUUCCAGACGAAUGGUUUCAUACCCAUCUGCACUCACUCUGUCAAAUUUGGGAUUUAAGUUGGAAGUUUCAGAUUUCACUUUUCCAAACUUAAUAAAAUUUCCUUCUCUUCGUGGAAACUUCAAACUUCUUACUUGGCUAGAGUGAUCAACUGUAUCACCAUCACCAAAUACAGCAGUGCCUUCAUGUCUAUCCCCCUCA